UACGAAGGGGGCUAGCGUUGCUCGGAAUUACUGGGCGUAAAGCGCGCGUAGGUGGUUUGUUAAGUUGAAUGUGAAAGCCCCGGGCUCAACCUGGGAACUGCAUCCAAAACUGGCAAGCUAGAGUACGGUAGAGGGUGGUGGAAUUUCCUGUGUAGCGGUGAAAUGCGUAGAUAUAGGAAGGAACACCAGUGGCGAAGGCGACCACCUGGACUGAUACUGACACUGAGGUGCGAAAGCGUGGGGAGCAAACAGG
rnacentral:rRNA from 1 species